AACGAACGCUGGCGGCAGGCUUAACACAUGCAAGUCGAACGCUCCGCAAGGAGAGUGGCAGACGGGUGAGUAACACGUGGGAACGUACCCUUUACUACGGAACAACUCCGGGAAACUGGAGCUAAUACCGUAUGUGCCCUUUGGGGGAAAGAUCUGAUCGGUAAAGGAACGGCCCGCGUUGGAUUAGCUAGGUGGUGGGGUAAAGGCCUACCAAGGCGACGAUCCAUAGCUGGUCUGAGAGGAUGAUCAGCCACAUUGGGACUGAGACACGGCCCAAACUGCUACGGGAGGCAGCAGUGUGGAAUAUUGGACAAUGGGCGCAGGCCUGAUCCAGCCAUGCCGCGUGUGUGAUGAACGCCUUAGGGUUGUAAAGCACUUUCACCGGAGAAGAUAAUGACGGUAUCCGGAGAAGAAGCCCCGGCUAACUUCGUGCCAGCCGCCGCUGUAA
rnacentral:rRNA from 1 species